ACAAGACGGUGGAGCAUGUGGUUUAAUUCGAAGCAACGCGAAGAACCUUACCAGGCCUUGACAUGCAGAGAACUUUCCAGAGAUGGAUUGGUGCCUUCGGGAACUCUGACACAGGUGCUGCAUGGCUGUCGUCGGCUCGUGUCGUGAGAUGUUGGGUUAAGUCCCGUAACGAGCGCAACCCUUGUCCUUAGUUACCAGCACGUUAUGGUGGGCACUCUAAGGAGACUGCCGGUGACAAACCGGAGGAAGGUGGGGAUGACGUCAAGUCAUCAUGGCCCUUACGGCCUGGGCUACACACGUGCUACAAUGGUCGGUACAAAGGGUUGCCAAGCCGCGAGGUGGAGCUAAUCCCAUAAAACCGAUCGUAGUCCGGAUCGCAGUCUGCAACUCGACUGCGUGAAGUUGGAAUCGCUAGUAAUCGUGAAUCAGAAUGUCACGGUGAAUACGUUCCCGGGCCUU
rnacentral:rRNA from 1 species